rnacentral:ncRNA from 1 species
GAAAUGUAUGGAGUAAAGCUUGCCGUGAGAAGUCAGCAGAUGUCAUAGUAGCAAACGUGUCGAUAAGUUUGUGAAGGAC